GCUUCCCUGCAGCAAGAGAAUGAGGAAACUGAGAUGGGCCCCAACCUCCAGGACCGAAUCACGGCACUCUGAAAUCCACUCUGUAAACAACCCCCCUCCGCUGACCAACAGGGUAUUUUUACUAGCUGGCGGAGCUGAAUCCUUGGGAAGACUGCUCUCUUUACAGAGUAACAGAAAUGUGUGAAGAAAUGGCACCAGAUGAUUCAGAGUUUGAAAUGAAUGCUUUCAUCCCCAGAGCACUAAACCGGGCGGCCGGAGUCUGCCUCGGGCUUGGUGUCUCCAGCAAACCCCACGCCCACCCCCAGCCCCACCCCCAUCUCCAGGCCAAAUAGGAAAUCUUGGCCCUGUCAACCCCCAAUUCACAGUCUUGUAAGGGGUGUUUGGAGAGGCUUCAGGAGACCCACAAACCCCCAGAAUUACAUACGCAACCGUGUGCUUUCCUGGGAAGGGUCUGUAGUCUUCAGAGUUUUAGUCUCCAGGACCCUAGAACUGAGGGUUAGACCCUAGAACUGUAGGUCUCUGAUACUCCUGCCGAAACAAACUUAAGUGGUUUUUACACCCACAGAAACAGUAAAGACUGUGAUUCUCCACCCCUCCUUGUGUUUGUAACUAGAGUGGUGGCUAACAGCUCCAACUCUGGACCAGACUGCCUGGGUUCGAAGCCUACUUCCACCGUGUCCCAGCUGUGUGGCCUCAAGCAAAUGACUUAACCUCUCUGUGCCCCUGCACUCUCAAUUAGAGCCUGGGGCCAGUAAUCGCACCUACCUCGCUGGUUUGUUUUUCUGAGGGUUAAAUGAGUUAGUACAGAUAAAGUGCUUAGAA